CCAAGUGUACUCUCUGUAAGGCAGCCUGCCUUUGCUUAGGAGAUGACUUUAGUUCCCCAUUUGCUCCAGAAUCACUUCUAGAACACAGAAGAGAACAUAAUGAUGGCAUUUAGUGAAGUCAUUGGGUUUAUUCUUGCACACUGCUGCAAUUACAGCAUCAUCUCAAUGGCUACGUACUCCAAGCUGCUCACUAUCGAAGCAUCUUUCAUCAAUGUGAUAAUUUAACGUGGCAAUGUUCUCUCCAUUACAGGAGGGCAGUUCCAAACCUCUGAGCAUUUUUCAGCAGCAAGCAGGACCUGUGGCAAUUCCCAUCACACUUGGCUUCCAAUUAACUGCUGAAUAUGAGGAUGACGUUGGAUGAGAACAGGAGCAGGACAUUCUUAUGGGGUGUCUUUCCCCUGCAGCCAGCUACAGACCUUGCCCUUCAAAGCUGUACGCUGCAAAGAUGCAGCUUGCCAGGAAAAGGAAAGCACAGCAAACACAGCACAAGCUGGAUUGAAAAAAAAAGGGACUGAGAAACUGGAAUAAAGGGCAGCACAAUUAAACACUU